UCUCAUCUGCCUCUCUCUCUCCUCCAUUGAAGCGUACUCGAAAUUCUCCAUUGAAGGGGCUUCGCAUUGAUCAAAUCGAACAUGGUCGUAUUCUCUGCUCCUUCAAUGUUCCUCAACGUCUCCUGAAUACUACGAAUACUCUUCAUGGUGGCGCAAUUGCGUCUUUGGUGGAUUUAGUGGGUUUGGCUGUUGCUUCAAGCGGACGGCGCCUUCUAAUCCGUGUAUCCCCCAUUGAAGAGGCAGCUUCUGAGCCUAUCGACUCAAACCUUCUGAAGUUGCUCAUUCCAGUCGCAGUAUGUCAUGCUAUAGGCCAUGUUACCAGCAAUGUCUCUUUUGCUGCUGUUGCGGUUUCUUUCACCCACACUAUUAAAGCUCUGGAGCCCUUUUUCAAUGCUGCUGCUUCUCAAUUCGUUCUCGGACAGUCUAUCCCCAUUACUCUCUGGCUCCAGUUGUAAUUGGUAUGAGGAUGCAUUUAUCCGCUUUGUUGAUGAGAUAAAUGGAGUUGCUUCUUAUCAGUGGUGGGAAGGAUCGGUGCACAGCAUUCUCUCUGUUCUAGCAUAUCCACUGGCAUGGUCAUGGCUGCAGUGGUGUUGAAAAAAGAAGCUACAGCGACUACAUAAAUUUGUCCGUUCAGAGUAUGAUCACUCCUGUUUACGUUCCUGUCACUCUCGUGCUCUUUAUGAAGGGCUGAAGUUAUCUGCUACUUCAGACUUGAUGCUUGCAUACCUGGACUUCUACCUGGGUGGAGAUGAAAAACGAUCGGACCUUCCUCCUUGUCUAAACCAGCGUUUACCUUUGACAUUGAUAUUUGGAGGCGAUGGAAGCUAUAUGGCUCCAUUCUCUCUUCACAAUGAUAAUGUUUUGACUAGCCUUAUAAAUCAGUCUAUGCCACCCACAGUUUGGUAUCGAUUUGUUGCUGGUAUCAAUGCUCAAUUGCGUCUUGUUCGUCGUGGACAACUGAAGUCAACCUUUGGACCUAUUGUCAACUGGCUUGAAACCCUAGGUAACCCUGUCAUUGGCAUCCAUGGCUUGAGAGUUGAUCUGGGAUGGUUUCAGCCAUCUACUAUUGGCUAUUCUCAGUUUGGUCUUGUGGUGUGUCGAGCAAGAAAUGUCCAGCCAUCUGAUGGUAAUAUCGACAGGUUCCUUCCUCCGAAGUCACCAUCAAGGUAAAAUGCAGAAUGCCAAACUGAUUUAUGCCAGAUGUUUACUUGCAUUGAAAUGCAUGUAUGCUCUGUUACCACUUUCUUCGGACCUUUCACUUCUCUUAUACUUUAACGUAUACCUCAAAACUCCUCCCUCCCCCCACCCCCUGGCUAAAAAGGGGGAAAUUGAAAAGAAACAUAGAUGCUAUGCCAAAUUGUUGUCUUUUGGAUCUAUUCUAACUACUGAGAGACUUAAGAAUAUAUUAUUCUUGAAAAAAUGGAGUUAUGUUUAGUAUUGUUUUGUUUUGGAUAUAGUCUAGUAAUAGCGAUAUGCUGGACCGCUGGAGUUUGGAAUUACCUUGAUCUAGUGUCCUCCUCUAACCCCUGCUUAGUUCAAUGACUAGUAGCAGGUACAGUUUUAGGUAAUUAAUGGAAUGAUGGCAAUGACCUAUACCUGCUUCUAGAUGUUGGAUGAAAAUUAAAUCCCAUAGCCUGCAAUUCCAAGAAAUCUCUGUGUUGGUAAUUGUAUUAGGUGAGUUAAAUGACUCCAGAUGGUGGAAUAUGUAUUCCAAUUUAAUAUAGGGGGUGAUAAUGAUGGGUAUGGUGGUGCCGGCUGCCGACUACAACAAUGGAAAUUGGUAGUGAUGGUCCAAGUGUGAGGAUGAAUUAGUCAAAUAUAAUUUGAACUAUUUUAACCCUGAUUCCAAAGAUGGCUGCUUUUUCUCUAAUCCACCUAUCCUCUUUGAUUUUUUAGGUUAUAGGUUUUGAGGGGCUUUAUGGCAUGGGUUUUGAAAUGCCUUUUUUUUUUGGCUAUUAUACAAGUAUGAGCUUGUUGAUUCUAAUCCCGUACUUAUUUUUUGAUGUGGGUGAACCAAACUUCCCCUUCGAUCAUAUAGAAAAGACAAGUUUUCCUAGUUGGAAGUGAUGGAAAUAUGGUCGAGGGAUGGUAAAGGUCUAAUCUAGAAAUGGCUAUAAUGGGAGUAAGAACAAGAAUACCACACCUGCAAAAUCCUCCCGGGACAGUGAUAAAUCUAUUUAUAGUACAGUGCAGGUUAUUAUUAUUUUGGUCAAUUAUGUAGGACAAUGUAGGUUAUUGCGAGCAAUCUUCCUUUUGAAUUUAUAUCAUGCACUUGGGAUCAAGAUUAAUUAUGCACACUGCGCUCCCAAAUUAUGUUUUCGCAUGAAUUAUAAUUAAGGGUGUACCAACUGAAAAAGGGUGUACUAAUCUCUAUGCCUACAUUUCCAUAAUUGCUCUAUUUGUGUGCCUUCCCCCUGCAAUAAUUGUCGAGGGCCCUCA